CCUACGGGAGGCAGCAGUGAGGAAUAUUGGUCAAUGGACGCAAGUCUGAACCAGCCAUGCCGCGUGAAGGAAGACGGCUCUAUGAGUUGUAAACUGCUUUUUUAUGAGGGUAAACGCAUACACGCGUAUAUUUCUGAAUGUAACGUACGAAUAAGGAUCGGCUAACUCCGUGCCAGCAGCCGCGGUAAUACGGAGGAUUCAAGCGUUAUCCGGAUUUAUUGGGUUUAAAGGGUGCGUAGGCGGUCGGAUAAGUUAGUGGUGAAAUCCCGAGGCUCAACUUAGAAAUUGCCUUUGAUACUGUUCGGCUUGAGUGUAGUAGCGGUAGGCGGAAUUCAUGGUGUAGCGGUGAAAUGCUUAGAUAUAAUGCAGAACACCGAUUGCGAAGGCAGCUCACCGGACUGCUACUGACGCUGAGGCUCGAAAGCGUGGGGAGCAAACAGGAUUAGAGACCCUUGUAGUC
rnacentral:rRNA from 1 species